UUGAAAUUUCUAGAGGAUCCACUAGGUGCCAUUCUCAAAGAUGGUUUUAAACUUGUGGUUGAAGCUCUUGUGAAAUCGGGUGGUGAUGAUGAUGAUAUACCCGAUGACCUUUGGGAUGUAGUCUCUAGUUUGAAAGAAUUUGAUGAAGAGCACCUUGCCCACUACCAUGCUCAUCUUGUUGACAACCCCAAGACGGCAAGAGCCUUCAUGAAACUUUCCGAAACCAACAAAUCUGUUUGGGUGAGUAGGUAUGUGAAGAAGAACUUCUAA
rnacentral:rRNA from 1 species